rnacentral:rRNA from 1 species
GAUGAACGCUAGCGGGAGGCUUAACACAUGCAAGUCGAGGGGCAGCAUAGGGUAGCAAUACUCUGAUGGCGACCGGCAAACGGGUGAGUAACGCGUAUGCAACCUACCCUGUACAGGGGGAUAACCCGGAGAAAUUCGGACUAAUAUCCCGUAAUAAUAUCCGGAGGCAUCUUUGGAUAUUUAAAGUUCCGACGAUACGGGAUGGGCAUGCGUAACAUUAGCUGGUUGGUAAGGUAACGGCUUACCAAGGCUAUGAUGUUUAGGGGUCCUGAGAGGGUGGUCCCCCACACUGGUACUGAGACACGGACCAGACUCCUACGGGAGGCAGCAGUGAGGAAUAUUGGUCAAUGGGCGCAAGCCUGAACCAGCCAUCCCGCGUGCAGGAAGACGGCCCUAUGGGUUGUAAACUGCUUUUCCAGGGAGAGAAACUUACGCACGUGUUGCGUGACUGACGGUACCCUGGGAAUAAGCAUCGGCUAACUCCGUGCCAGCAGCCGCGGUAAUACGUCUA